GAUGAAGAACGUAGCGAAAUGCGAUACGUAAUGUGAAUUGCAAAUUCAGUGAAUCAUCGAGUCUUUGAACGCACAUUGCGCCCCCUGGUAUUCCGGGGGGCAUGCCUGUCCGAGCGUCAUUGCUGCCCUCAAGCACGGCUUAUGUGUUGGGCCCCGUCCUCCGAUCCCGGGGGACGGGCCCGAAAGGCAGCGGCGGCACCGCGUCCGGUCCUCGAGCGUAUGGGGCUUUGUCACCCGCUCUGUAGGCCCGGCCGGCGCUUGCCGAUCAACCCAAAUUUUUAUCCAGGUUGACCUCGGAUCAGGUAGGGAUACCCGCUGAACUUAAGCAUAUCAAUAAGCGGAGGA
rnacentral:misc_RNA from 1 species